UUAUACUUGUAUCUCAUCCUCUAUAGGAUUAGGGAAUACCUGGAAGUAAAUGAAAAAAGGGUGAAUCAGCAGUAAUGAUAGCAGGGAGUCAGCAGCAGGUUCCAAUAAGGAGAGUAAACCAGUAAAACGUAUUUCAAACCCAAAAAUGAAGUGUUGCAACCCAGAAAUCAGUUUCAAACACACAGUUAAACUAGUAGACCUCAAAGACCAGCCUAAACGACUGAAUCUCAAACCAUUUCCAAGUCCAAAUAAUCAGGGAAUUGGUUCAGGAAGAUGAGAUGAGAAUUUCUGAUUGCAAAACUAAAACUCAAUGGAACUGUGUUUUACUGCAGGGUGUUGCAGCUACUUUUCUUGAUUUUAGGAUAUUUUUGGCUCUUGAAA
rnacentral:lncRNA from 1 species